GAGGGUAUUGUUUAAGUGGCAGAGCGCAUGCUUAGCAUGCAUGAGGUCCUGGGUUCAAUCCCCAGUGCCUCCU
rnacentral:tRNA from 1 species